rnacentral:rRNA from 1 species
CCUACGGGUGGCAGCAGUGAGGAAUAUUGGUCAAUGGGCGCGAGCCUGAACCAGCCAAGUCGCGUGAAGGAUGAAUGCUCUAUGGGUUGUAACCUUCUUUUAUAAAGGAAUAAAGUGAGGCACGUGUGCCUUUUUGUAUGUACCUUAUGAAUAAGGAACGGCCAACUACGUGCCAGCAGCCGCGGUAAUACGGAGGCUCCGAGCGUUAUCCGGGUUUAAUGGGGUUAAAGGGUGAGGAGGAGGUGUUGUAAUGUAGUUGGUAAAGUUUUGGGGUUAAACCUAAGAUUGCAUUUGAUACUGGCAGUCUUGAGUACAGUUGAGGUAGGCGGAAUUCGUGGUGUAGCGGUGAAAUGCUUAGAUAUCACGAAGAACUCCGAUUGCGAAGGCAGCUUACUAGACUGCCACUGACGUUGAGGCUCGAAAGUGUGGGUAUCAAACAGGAUUAGAUACCCUAGUAGUC